rnacentral:snoRNA from 1 species
AGCAGCUGUGUCAAAUUCAGUAAGGCAGGCACUGGCCCAAAAGGCUGCCACAGAGACACUGUCACUCAUGGGCCUUGUUCCUCUGUGCUGAGGCUCAGGGAUAAAUUUUUGUUACAGACAUGG